rnacentral:rRNA from 1 species
GUGAGGAAUUUUCCGCAAUGGGCGAAAGCCUGACGGAGCAAUGCCGCGUGAAGGAUGAAGGCCUAUGGGUUGUAAACUUCUUUUCUCAGAAAAGAAUUAUGACGGUAUCUGAGGAAUAAGCAUCGGCUAACUCUGUGCCAGCAGCCGCGGUAAGACAGAGGAUGCAAGCGUUAUCCGGAAUGAUUGGGCGUAAAGCGUCUGUAGGUUGUUUAAAAAGUAUUCUGUCAAAGAUUAGGGCUUAACCCUAGAUAGGCAGAAUAAACUUUUAAGCUAGAGUUUGGUAGAGGCAGAGGGAAUUCCCGGUGAGCGGUGAAAUGCGUAGAUAUCGGGAGGAACACCAAAGGCGAAGGCACUCUGCUGGGCCAAUACUAACACUGAGAGACGAAAGCGAGGGGAGCAAAUGGGAUUAGAUACCCUGGUAGUCC